GGAAGGGUGGCCGAGUGGUUUAAGGCAGCGGUCUUGAAAACCGCCGUGGGUGAAAGCCCACCGUGAGUUCGAAUCUCACCCCUUCCGCCA
rnacentral:tRNA from 1 species